AAAGGUAGAAUGUGAAAACACAAAUUCCAAGCAUUCCUCAUAAUAAUAAAACCUUAAUUGUGGGCAAAUUUAGGGAUGAUACUUCAGGGAUCUCUAGCAUUACUCAAAAGUAAAAUGCACCAAAUUGGAUCCUUCUACAGUAACAAACAUCAACCAUAAAAUGCUAACAUCUUGAACUAUUCUUUUCCUGUGCUGUUUUCUGGAUGGAGGGCUAUUUCCAACUAAAAGUACGCUGAUUGAAGGUGAAAGCCACCAAGAUACAGAUGGCUGUGAUUCAGAUCAGAUGCUUAAACUACAUUUCAUGAUAUACUGGCAAGACUAUGUCAUCACUGUGUUUCAGGUUUCCAGAAGUGACUUGUCUUUUUAUGUUUUGGUGAUACCCAGAAGUGACUGCCAAGUGCAAACAAAACUGGUAAUCUAGGUGCUUGAAAUCGCUUUGUGAGCAUCCGAAAGUCCAGCAUUAGAAGCUGCUUUGGAGUCAAUCCUUUUUGUAAAGCCACCCGAGAUACGCCUCCACGUUGAGGACUUAGUUUCUAUUUUGGCCAAGCUCGUAAAGCUUUGGUUUUGUAUAAUUCGUUUGUUUUUAGUUUUGAUCUUGGGUUAUGUGUAAAAGAUAAAUGUUUGUAAAUAUUGUGGUAUGAUAUGUGAAGUGUUUUAUUUAUUUCUGUUCAUAGCAUGUAUGCACAGCUCAAUAGACAAUUUUAUAUUUUGCUUCCGCUUCAAGCCCCGUACCUUUAAUUAUAUAUUUUGAAAUUCUGUCUAUUGAGGUCAAAUCUAAUCUCUAGGGGCGAGUUUAGGUCGUAACACAAUCUCUCUCUCUCUCUCUAUAUAUAUAUAUAUAUGUAUAUAUAUAUAUAUUCUUUAGAAUAUAUAUAACCCAUAAUGUUAUCAAGCACACUAUAAUGCUAUUAUUAUUUUGUUUGCCAAUAUUAGCCCAGAUUAUAUCUUUGUAAUGGUCUGCAGGUAGGUUGCAUUGAUUCAAUAACACAAUCACCAUGCUAAAAAGGGAUAAAGCAGCUUUUCAAUUCAUGUAGUACAAUUGGGUACCAAUUUAUCUGUUUUAAAUUACUUUGUCACCUUUUUUUACUAUUGUGAUGUCCUUGAUCCAAUCCAAUCAAAUCCAUAUACUAGUUGUACUUACACUACAUAUUAAUUUCAAUAUGCAUUUCUUAUACCAAAGAGUUUUUAUAAAUCAUCCAGCAAGAAGUUCUGUAAGUUUGAAGGAAUUAAAUUGGUCGAUUUGAAAGGAAGGAGGGGACUCAUUAAAACCCUGCAUAAUUAAGUUUGGAGUCUUAUUUAAUGUUUUUCUCGAGCAAAUAAGCCAAUCGGUCAACCUUACUGAUACUUUAUUGAAUUUUAAGAGUAAUAUUUUGGUAAUUUCUGAAUUUUCUGGACUUGGGCUGUAGGGAACAUCUGUGGUCAUCGUAUUAUUGAGUCUUGAGCAUUCGACCAUGACUACAUAAAACCACAAUCCAGCCCUUGUUACUGUUCACAGUCCCUAGAGAACCACAAAUCACCUCUUCUUGUCUAAACACAGCCCCAAUACUGCAUUCUUUUGUUAUCACUUACACCAAAAUUCAUAUAUCUUACAAAACCUUGGCUACAAAACUACAUAUAGUUCAGCCCUAAAGAAAGGCCACCGCUAUUUCCCCAUAUAAAUUAGGCAUUAAAACUUGUAUCUGCUCUUGUCCAACAUCACCGUGAGUGAAUUUAACAUAUACUGAACACCGGUUAUGUUACACGGACUCGGGUGCGAGUGUCGGAUACAAGUAUGUGUUUAAGUGUCAGAUUCGCCUAUUCCUAAAAAGUGAGGGUAAAGGGACUGGGCUAAAAUAUGUCCCAAAAAUAGAUACAGAUACAGAGACACGGCACAUGAAAUAUUAAUAGGAUAUUCUAUAUCGUAUACUAAUUACAUAGUCUAUGCAUCAUGAUCAAUACCCAGGUAGUUAAAGUCUAAAAAAAUAAUCUAGGCAUAUAUUUUUACUGUAUUUAAUUCAUAUAAGAUGGUAUAAUUUUUUUAAACUUUUACAAAUAUAAUUUAUAUUUAAUGUAUAUAAAUUUUAUACUAUAUGAAAUGUUUUAAUCU